UCACAAAUGCAGCAUGCAGGUUCUCAUCACUGAUGAAAAUGCAUAGCUCAUGGUGCCCUCAACUACAUCUGAAAAAUGGCACACGUCUUAGCGACAUCUCUGCAAUUGUUCUUGGAGCAGAGCCUUUUCAGGAGUGACAGGAGCAGAUUUGCAGUGAAGAGCUGCUAAUGCAGAAGGAUCCGUUCCGGAUGUUCUCCUCCCAUCUGUUAUACAGUGCAGCAGCUCUUCUGCAUCUCCUGGGACGAUGCAUGAGGAGUCAGAAAAAUUGUGGUCCUUGUGCUGGGAAUGCUGUGACAAGAAGUUUGAAGAUUGAAUUCCCACUUAAAGUCUCUACUAUACUUUUCUCAGAAUAGGAGAUAUUCCCUCUAUCCAAAGUGAGAAGACUUUUGCAGAAUUCAUGAAGAUGUUGUCAAAGAACAAUAUUACACCACGUGGACUCAAACAUUUCUCUGGAAAGAAAGACAUCUGAUUUCAGUGGGACUUGAUGUUGCAUAAGAUGUCAUUCAACAUGAAUAAAGGUGUCAAAAUAUGGCCUGGCGUCAUUAUCCACAUCUCUUAAACCUCCACAAUGAGAUACACAGAUUAAUGGCUAACACCUGGGAUGACAUUCCUAUCUUAACCCAUGCAGUCUGUCCAAAAGUUAGUAAUAACAUGUGCAUGGCAUGUCACCGGACUCUGAAAUACAGUCACAGUAGUUUGAAUUUUCAGAACAAAUAUCUGCCUUUGCUCUAUUUUAUUCCCCUUGUGGUUUAAAGCCAGUUCUUUAAAAUAUUGUUUAAUAUGUUUUUAGAGAUAUAAUAAAAAUAUAUUGACUGAGAGGACAAAUGUCAAUUCUUUCCUUAGCAUGUUCUCUCUGUUAAAAGUUUGUAUAAGAAUGCUUUUUCUUUUCAAUCUCACAUUUAAAAACGUAAUCUCAGUUAUGCUGGAAGCCAUCAAACAGCUUUCUCUGUUUAAUGGGAGUUCCUUCUUUAAUUAUACCCAUCAACAGAUUCUAUGAAGUAUUUUGGGAUGCCUUGAAUAUAAAAACAUUACAUCGAGCUGGAUUCUAUGUUUAUGCCGUCAUGUACCAUCUUUCACACCAGAUGAAGUAAUAAUUACAGCAAAGUCUAACUUAAAUAUAUAAAACAUGAAAUAUGAAUAAUAAAGGAUAACUAUGUUAUAUAAAUUUGAAUCCUAUAGACAUAGGGCAUGAGAUAAGAAUGUGUUUUACUGAUUACAUAAAGUUCUCCUGCACUAUGCAAUUCCACUCAUAAAGUAUUUCUGAAUAUUUUAAUAGAAAAUAUAUGAAAUUAGUCAUGAUUCCUUUUGUACUUCAAAGGCUGUCAUAAUAGUCUCUACAGCAAAUUUUCCAUGUUUACACUAUUAUUUAAUGCAGCACAAGUAAGUAUGGAACACAGCAUGAUCAUGUCCCUAAUUCAACAGCUUGGGCUUCCCAUUGCAUAGCUGUACUGAUUGUUGAAAAAGCAAGAGGCCACCCAGUGGCAAAUUUUGUAUAAGUUAAUUCUGACUGUCCAAAAUUAUUUCUGAAGAGAACAGAGACAAUGACUUCCACUUAAGAAUAAGAUUUUUGUUAGCUCAGAAAGCUUAGAAAUCCCCAAAAGAAAAAGCACAUUUGAAAUUAUGUCUUUUAUUCAAUAAUAUAACCUAAAUACAAGGGCUUGUAAUUUGAAAAGCUCUCACGUCCAAGGCUACUCCAUAAGUAAUGCCUCUUAUUUUAUUAUGUCAGCCCAUGGCAUCAGAGGCAGAUGUUGGUGGUAUUCAAUACAGGUUGAACCUUCAUACCAAUAUUCCAUUACAUUUUGUUGCUGUGUGACAGAUGACAGCAGAGGGGCAGUCUGACACAAUAUCAUCUGAUGUGGAAGUGUAUAUGAAGCAACGGUGUCACUGAAUUACUCUAUGCAGGAAAAAUAGCACUCAUUGAUAUUAAUCGAUACUUGCCAAGUAUUUGUGGAGAUCAAACAGUGGAUGUGAAGCACAGUGAGACAGUGGGUGCUGUGUUUCAGCAGUGGCAACAGUGACAUGAAGGACAAGUCACUUUCCAGAUGGCCACACACAGCUGUCACACCACAAAAUGAAGAGUGUCUUGACCACCUCAUUCUUGCAAAUUUGUGGGUUAUGACCAGGGAGCUGUGUACAGAGCUGAAUACUGGGUUCAAUGUGUAGCCAGCAAUGGUGGCAAUGUUAGUAUAUCACAAAGUUUGCAGUGGGUAGAUCCACGAAUGCUCACAAAGGAACAGAAAGAACACUGUAUGCAAGUUUGUCAGAACCUAUUGAACCAAUAUGAGGCUGAAGUGACAGUUUCCUGGAUCACAUCGUUACCAGUGACAACACAUAGAAUCACCACUACGAGCCGGAGUCAAAAUGGCAGACUAUGGAGUGGCAACAUGUGAAUUCCCCAGUGAAGAAAAGUUCAAGACACGGCUCUCAGUGGAUAAAAUGAUGUGCACUGCCUUUUGGGAUAGGAAAGGGGUAAUCCUUCUGGAUUUCCUGGAACCUGGACAAUGUUAUUGUGCUUUUUGUAUCUGUUGUAUCUGUUUCAUGGUGGCAUUACUUUUGGAGCAACCUAUCUAGAACUGGGCUAUACAUCCAGGAAACUUAUUUCUGCAUUUAGGUACAGAUUGAGGUUUUUUAGGAAAAUGAAUAAUUUUUAGGAUAGUAGAACAAGAAAAAGGCAUAUUAUCAUUAACCUAGAGUUUAGUAGCUGUCUGGAAUAAUUUACUUAAAGAUUAAAUGUACAAUCCUUGACCUUCAACAUAAAUUGAAGAAGUUUAAGUUCAUAACUUUGAGUUCAUAGUUUGCAUGAUGUCCUAAGCAGAUAGCUACCAGGCACACUGAGGCAAAGGAAAACUUUAAUGGAACUAUAUUGCAAAAACAAAUGCAGAGGAACAAGUAAACAAUACAGUGAAUAUGACUAGUAAUGAGGAUGCUCAUUUGGUAGGAAAGUACUAUAUAUUUGAAGUUGCUGGUGCUGAAGAAGACAAGUCUUUCAUUUUGUAGAUUGGAGUCCGGGUUAUUAACUUGUUCAAAAGUUAGAAAAUGACAUCAGCUUUUCUAGUUGCAGUUUUGAUAGAAGUGCUCAUCACUGCCGCGAUUACGAAGGCAGUGCACUGAAUUUGCCCAGCAGAACACACUUUUCAGAGCAUAGAAAAUGGUCUUAAGGUGUGAAAUUGUUGCCAUUAGCUCAGGCAACUGAGGCUGUGCUACUGGGUGUAUACAUUAGCAGAAUUUGAACAACUUUGAUGGUAAAAGUUUAGGUACCAAGAGUAUCUCAUGGAUUGAAAUGGACUUUAGGGGAUUUACGGAUCAGGUUGAAGGUUCCAAGUGUUCUUAUGCUGCACUUGAGAGUGUUUAUCAGGAUCACUGUCACAAAGCCAAAUAAAUAUUUUAAAAAAUUAUGAAAAAUCUCAGAUUGAAAGAAAAAAAUGAGCUUAACUUUGAAGAAAUCCACAUUUUGAAACAUUUUGUCAUGGCAUAACUUUAUCGAAGGAGUAUAACUCAUCUAAAUGCACUGAGAUGCUUCCUUCUUUACAUUAGUUUAAAAUGUGAGAGAAUUGUAGUCACGUUCUGCAAGAUUAUCCCUUUUCAAAUGUGCCAAGAUAUACACAACAAGCUUAACUGUGUUUUAAUGAGCAUUUUUUAAUAAAUAUGUGCAUAUGUGUACUAUACAAUACAAUACUUAUACAACACUUAUAUGUAUGUGUGUAUGUGUGCCGACACAGUUAAAACUGUAAGCAAAUAGGUAUAUUUAGUAAACAGUCGUGUUGGCAGUAAAGUUGCAAAUGUCAUAGACAAAUGAAUGUCCUGUAUAAUUACAAAAUAUAAGCAACUCCAUAAAAAGAAAAGGAAAAAAACAGAUAAAUUCUCACUAUUUUUGAAAUGAGAUGUAAGUAUAAUUUGCUGAAUGUUUUUGAUGUUGACAACAAACAAUUGAAAUUGCUUUUCAAAUGAACCUCAUAGCACAAAAGAAAAAAACAAACAAAAAAACCAAACCAAACCAAAACAACAACAAAAAAACCAUGAUCUUAAGACACAGAUUUCAGUGGAAUCUAGUAAAAAGCCUGAGAUACACUGGCAACUCAAUACCUUUAAUUUGGUGGGAAAGUAACUCAAGACAGUCCUCACUUCUGCUCUAAUCCAUUAGUCACAGUAGUGACAGAAGGGAAUAUUUUGAGUAUCUGCGAUCAAUCCUGAUCACUAGUCCAGCUAGCUGGGAUCACUGAUUGGUUAGGUUAUUUUUCAAAUGUUCGGAUUCUUUCUGCUUUGUAUGAAUUCCUUUUUUUUAUAUGACUGAAGAAUUAAAAAGAUAGAUUAAUUAAUGCAGUUGAGAUUCAGAAUGAGCUUUUGAUGUAAAGAAAAUGAUCAUGAAGAUAUGAGGUCUUGUUUUAGAAUCACAGAAUCAUAGAAUGCCUUGGGUUUUACAAGUUGUUCUUUCACUGUUCCUCAAAUGGCAUUCUGUGAGUGAUUGCAGAAGAAAAUCAUUAAAAGGUUGCGCAUCAGCCAGGACACUUUCUGCCCCUUCUCUUUGAUUCAGACAUACACUGGCAAACAAUUCAAAGAUAACUCUUGGGAGGUGCAUGUUACAGUGAUGGAUCUCUGGAGAGGAAAAGAGAAAAAUGAAGGUUGAAAAAAGGGGGUGAGAAACACAAAGAACCAAAAAAAAAUUCAGGUUGCCUCUGCUGUCAGUCAAAUGAAAGAGAAGUGGCAAUUUGAUCUAUGGCAAGCUCAGUGCCAAAGAUGAACAAAUAUAAGUUACCUUUGUGACAGAAAAAAUCCACACAUUAAUUUUGAUUCACACAGUUGUUUGGGUUUUAUUGCUUGUUUUAUAGACAACAGCUUUCUUCCUGUUCUAGUGAUAUUCUGAUGUACCAGCAUAACUUUUUGAUCACACAAAGUGCAUACAUUUCAUGUAUUAUAUCCAAAUUGUGCUCUGAAAUUUUUAAAUCUGAGACAUGAGAAGCAAAUAAGAAAAUUUUCCAUUCAUUUAGGAACUAUUAAAGGACAUAAUUUCUUAAUGCCGCAAAAGGCCUAUUUAAUUUCCACUACAACUACCACUAAUUAGUGUUCUGCAAUACUUGAUAUGACUUCAGAGAAAAAAAAGUUUCCACAAACGAGCUUAUUAAAAUCGUGAUGCUAGCUCACUUCAAACUGCUGCCUAUAUGUGUAUGUUGGGAGUGCCUGUGGGAUGAGAGGGGAAAAGUUGCAGUAAAUGCCAUCAAAAGAAGUAGAUGCAUCAAAGAAAACACAUUUGUCUUCAAAAGGGUGAGUUCAUAACACAGGUUCUACAACUUCCAUGGCUGGAAAUGACACAAGUAGGAAAGAUCUCUUGCUUCACCACUGAUAAUUAGAUGACAUUUCCUACGUAAAUUUCCUGUGGUGACAGGGAAAACAUUAUUUCAAGCUCUAUUCUUGGGAUUACCCGACUUAAAUGCAUAAAACUAUUUUUACCUGUGACUGCACAUAGCAAAUCUUGCAUAAUCUUCACCACAAAAUGUUUUAUGCUGG